rnacentral:rRNA from 1 species
UACAGAGGUCCCGAGCGUUGUUCGGAUUCAUUGGGCGUAAAGGGUGCGUAGGUGGCGGGGUAAGUCAGGUGUGAAAUCUCGGGGCUCAACCCCGAAACUGCACUUGAUACUGCCUUGCUCGAGUACUGGAGAGGAGAUUGGAAUUUACGGUGUAGCAGUGAAAUGCGUAGAUAUCGUAAGGAAGACCAGUGGCGAAGGCGAAUCUCUGGACAGUUACUGACACUGAGGCACGAAGGCCAGGGGAGCAAACGGG